CCCCCACCCUUCUCUCUUGUGGCUCGAGUAUGAAUGGGAGAAAGCUGCAUUCCUCAGCUUGCCCCUUUCUCCAGACUGUUACUGGGAGGGGCGUCAUGGUUUUAUGAUUCUUGUUUAUUGGUAUUCCACAUCAUAACAUCAUGUAGUGCACUGGGAGUUAAAGAGUUAAUGCUCCAGUUCUGGGCACCUGUCUGCUAGAGAAGAGCUACAUUGCUGAAGAGCAGAUUGCUGUGGAGACCAGCUUCAGGGCAGUUCUGUCUUGUAGCAUCAUCCAUCACAAAGACCUGUCAAGGCAACAGCCUGGAGGCACUUCACAGCAACCCUCAGGGUUCCCUACACUGCGUCUACCCAGUCAUCCUAACUACCUGAAGACUGACAGUAGUGUGCUGAGAGCUAAGAGCAGAAAUUCAGGUCACAUCUAAUCGUGGAGAGAUAGUAUUACUCCUGUACAACACACGGAACUAAGUUAUAUUCAGUGCUGGCAGUUCAUAGAAUCAUAGAAUGGCCUGGGUUGAAAAGGACCACAAUGAUCAUCGAGUUUCAACCCCCCUGCUAUGUGCAGGGUCGCCAACCAGCAGACCAGGCUGCCCAGAGCCACAUCCAGCCUGGCCUUGAAUGCCUCCAGGGAUGGGGCAUCCACAGCCUCCUUGGGCAGCCUGUUCCAGUGCGUCACCACCUUCUGGGUGAAAAACUUCCUCCUAAAGUUCUAAUAUCCAGACCUCCUUUCAAGCGAUAAAAAGCCUUUUGGAUUUGUUGGUUUCCAAUAAAAAAUACAA